GUGGUGGGCUCCACCCAGUUUGAGCUUCCUGGCUGCUUUGUUUACCUAAGCAAGCCUGGGCAAUGGCGGGCGCCCCUCCCCCAGCCUCGUUGCCGCCUUGCAGUUUGAUCUCAGACUGCUGUGCUAGCAAUCAUCGAGACUCCGUGAGGGUAGGACCCUCCCAGCCAGGUGCCGGAUAUAAUCUCGUGGUGCGCCGUUUUUUUAAGCCGGUCCGAAAAGCGCAAUAUUCGGGUGGGAGUGACCUGAUUUUCCAGGUGCGUCCGUCACCCCUUUCUUUGACUCGGAAAGGGAACUCCCUGACCCCUUGUGCUUCCCAAGUGAGGCAAUGCCUCGCCCUGCUUCGGCUCGCGCACGGUGCGCGCACCCACUGACCUGCGCCCACUGUCUGGCACUCCCUAGUGAGAUGAACCCGGUACCUCAGAUGGAAAUGCAGAAAUCACCCGUCUUCUGUGUCGCUCACGCUGGGAGCUGUAGACCGGAGCUGUUCCUAUUCGGACAUCUUGGCUCCUCCCCAAGAGUUCUGGAGUCUGAGAAGUCAAGGAUCGGGGUGCUGGCCUAUUCAGUUCCUGGUAAGGGCUGUCUUCCUGGCUUGCAGUUGAACUACUUCUUGCUGUGUCUUCACAAGGUAAAAAGAGAGAGAGAGAGAGUGUACACUCUGUUUUGUCUUCUUAUAAAGACAAUAAUCCUAUCAGUCCAGGGUUCCACCCUUAUGACCUUAUUUAACAUUAAUUACUUUCUUACUCCAAAUACAGCCACAAUGGGGGCUUCAACAUACGAAUUUUAGGGGGAAACAAUUCAAUCCAUAGUAACUGCUUACAGAGGUGAUGGAAAAAGUAAGAGGACAAUUAGGAGGCAAAGUAAACCAGAGAUUAGCAACAGUAGGAGUUACUACUACCCUUAGGACUGGAGAAACAGAGAUAAUGUUACCAGAGCCCAGGAUCCAGGGCCACGUUGUAGAAGAUGAACCAUGGCUUGGAUUCCAGAGAAAGACUAACAGGAACAGGAGCCAUGGAGACGUAGCACUCAUUAUCAGAAGAAGAGAGAGAGGACAGAGAGAAGUGCCCUGGCUUCUCUCCCGCCCACUUCAGUCUUCUCUCAGACUUCCAUUGACUGAGGCCACCUAGAAACCAGAAAACAAGUGGCCCUGGAAAAUGUAGUUUCCUCUGACCCGAAGCAGAGCUGAGAAUGGCAAGGACUGGGCUGAGAGCAGACAGAAAGAAAAGACUGUUAGAUUAAGUUUAGCCCAAAGAUGCCUUCUUACAGAGUCUAAGUUUUACCUAAAGGUUUCUCUGUGCACAGUGAACUGUAACCUAACUGGGUGUGUAAACCAACCAUAACCUACUCUUGUGCCAGUCACUCAGUUUUGGCCAAUUAAAGGCAGCCAACUAUUCAAACUCGGUUCAAGUAAGGCAAACACAGAACUGUAAGCAAUCCAGCUGUUUCUGUACCUCACUUCCAUUUUCUGUACAUUACUUCCCUUUGUGUCCAUAAAUCUUCUACCACCUGGCUGCGCUGGAGUCUCUCUGACUCCAGUGAAUUAUUCUUUCCUCAAUUAAGCUCUGUUAAAUUUAACUUGUCAGUGAUUUUUCUUUUAACAAGACUGUAAUAGCAAAUUGAGAGUUAGAGAGUAGGCAAACAGAUUCUGAACUUUUUGAGAAAAGGAUAUGAAAAUUGCAGAAAGUGUAACUGAGAUUUAAAAUUAUAUGAGAGUUUUUGGGAUUCUUUCUAUUUUAGCUCCAAGUUCACAAUAUUUUAGGGGUCUAGAGGACUUAGAACAGUUGUUCUUUACUGGAGGGGGUCAUUUUGCCUCUCAGGGGAUAUUUGUCAAUGUCUGGAGACAUUUUGGUUGCUACAAUGGGUAGCAGGGGGAUGUUACUAGUAUCUAGUGGGUGGAGGCCAGGAAUGCUGCUAAACUUUCUACAAUGUACAGGUACAUGCCCACAACAAAGAAUUAUUUAGUCUAAAAUGUCAAUACUGCUGUGAUUGAGAGAUCCUGCUUUAGAGAAUCACACAUGUGAAUAACAAAAUAUCCUUGUCGGGAGACAGUGAAAUCCGUGUUAAAAAGUGAAUUGGAUUGGAGUCGGUCCUAGAUCAGGCUCUGACUCCUUGCCGGUUUUGUAUCCUUUGCAAGUCACUCAGUUUCCUCAUCUUCAAAUAAUAAAUGUUAUUGAAAAGAUAUUUAAGUAAGUUCCCUACCAUUACUAGAAUCUCUGCAUGUACUAACUUCUUAAAUGUGUUUGGUUUUCUGCUGUAUUUUUAAAUGUCAACAUUUAUUUGCUUAUGAUAGUUCACCUAGGCUUUAACUUAAUUGUUUUUGUACUGAAGGCAAUUAUGAGAGAAAUUUUUACUCUCCUGAAGGACAUUAAACUCAGAUUUAAGAAUAGGCUCAUUCUUUACCUUCAGGUUUCCAAGGUCAAGCCACAAUAUUUAAAAAUAUAUUAAAUUUGAUUAAAUUACUUAAGGAAUAUAGCAAGAACAAAAUAAAAGUAAACUCUCAUCAAAUUAAUAAUUCAGUGUAGAUGGAAAUGCUGCUUUCAUUUCACAGAAAUGUAGGAAUUAUCUUAUGCUUAAGACUGUACAAUUGUACUAAUUUAGAUAUACAAUAUGUAUAUUAAAGCUUGGCAAAUGCUUCUCAAAUCUGUCCACUGCUCUGCUUUCCUGUCACUUCCAUCCUAUCUUCUCUCUCCCAAUCCAUCCUGAGGAAGGAUCAUUGCAAUGAUCUUGUGAUGGGUUUUCUACAUUUUUUUCCUUCUUUAUAUCCAUUUCCCAUGGUGCUACAGGAGUGAUCCAUCUAAUGCAGAUGUUAUCGUGUUAUAUUACUCUCUCUCAAGGUUACUCCUCUACUGACUACCAGGUCCUUCAUAAGCACCAACUCCACCUUUCCCUGUGAUAUGGUUUGGCUGUGUCCCCACCCAAAUCUCAUCUUGAAUUGUAACUCCCACAAUUCCUGCGUGUCAUGGGAGGAACCUAGUGGGAGGUGAUUGAAUUAUGGGAGUGAGAGGUGGUUGAAUUAUGGGGGUGGGUCUUUCCUGUGCUGUUCUCAUGAUAGUGAAUGAGUCUCAUGAGAUCUGAUGGUUUUAAAAAUGGGAGUUUCCCUGCACAAGCUCUCUGUUUGCCCCACUGCCAUCCAUGUAAGACAUGACUUGCUCCUUCUUGCCUUCCACCAUGAUUGUGAGGCCUCUCCAGCCAUGUGGAACUGUAAGUUCAUUAAAACUGUUUUUCUUCCCAGUCUCAGGUAUGUCUUUAUCAGCAGCAUGAAAAUGGACUAAUACAAUAAAUUGCUAUCAGGAGAAUGGGGCAUUGCUGAAAAGAUAUAUAAAAAUGUGUAAUGUGGAAGCAACUUUGGAACUGGAUAACAGGCAGAGGUUGGAACAGUUUCGAGGGCUCAGAAGAAGACAGAAAAAUGUGGGGAAUUUUGGAACUUCCUAGAGACUUGUUGAAUAGCUUUGACAAAAAUGCUGAUAGUGAUAUGAGCAAUAAGGUCCAGGCUGAGGUGGUCUCAGAUGGAGAUGAGGAACUUGUUGGGAACUGGAGCAAAGGUGACUCUUGUUAUGUUUUAGCAAAGAGACUGGUGGCAUUUUGCUCUUGUCCUAGAGAUUUGUGGAACUUUGAACUUGAGAGAAAUGAUUUAGGGUAUCUGGUGGAAGAAAUUUCCGAGCAGCAAUGCAUUCAAAAGUGAUUUGAGUGCUCUUAAAGGCAUUCAGUUUUAUAACAGAAGCAGAGCAUAAAAGUUCAGAAAAUUUGCAGCCUAACAAUGUGAUAGAAAAUAAAAUCCCAUUUUCUGAGGAGAAAUUAAAGCUGGCUGCAGGAAUUUGCAUAAGUAACAAGGAUCUGAAUGUUAAUCACCAAGACAAUGGGGAAAAUGUCUCCAGGGCAUAUCAGAGGUCUUCAUGGCAGCGCCUCUCAUCACAGGCCUGUAGACCUAGGAAGAAAAAAUGGUUUUGUGGACCAGGCCCAGGGUUCCCAUGCUGUGUUUGGUGCCCUGCAUCCCAGCCGCUCCAGCUAUGACUAAAAGGGGCCAAAGUACAGCUCAGGUUGUGACUUCAGAAGGUGUAAGCCCCAAACCUUGACAGCUUCCACAUGACAUUAAGCCUGCAGGUGCACAGAAAUCAAGAAUUGAGGUUUGGGAGCCUCUGCCUAGAUUUCAGAGGAUGUAUGGAAAUAGCUGGAUGUCCAAGCAGAAGUUUGCUGCAGGGGCAGCACUCUCAUUGGAGAACCUCUGCUAGGACAGUGAGGAAGGAAAAUAUGGGGUUGGAACCCACACACAGAGUCCCUACUGGGGCAUCACCUAGUGGAGCUGUGAGGAGAGGGCCACCAUCCUCCAGACCCCAGAAUGGUAGAUCCACUGACAGCUUGUAUCAUGUGCCUGGAAAAGCUGCAGACACUCAACACCACCCCAUGAAAGCAGCCUGGAAAGAGGCUGUACCCUGCAAAGCCACAGAGGUGGAGCUGCGCACGACCAUGGGAACCCACCUUUUGCAUCAGCAUGACCCACAUGCAAGACAUGGAGUCAAAGGAGAUCAUGUUGGAGCUUUAAGCUUUGACUGCUCUGAUGGAUUUUGGACUUGCCUAGGGCCUGUAGCCCUUUGUUUUGGCCAAUUUCUUUCAUUUGGAAUGGCUGUAUUUACCCAAUGCCUGUAUCCCCAUUGUGUCUAGAAAGUAACUAAGUUGACAGGCUCAUAGGCGCAAGGCAUUUGCUUUGCUUCAGAUGAGAUGUUGGACUGUUGACUUUUCAGUUAAUGCUGAAAUGAGUUAAGACUUUGGGGGACUGUUGGGGAGGCAUGGUUGGUUUUGAAAUGUGAGGACAUGAGAUUUGGGAGGGGCCAGGGGCAGAGUGAUAUGGUUUGGCUAUGUCCCCACUCAAAUCUCAUCUUGAAUUUUAACUCCCACAAUUCCCCUGUGAUCAUGGGAGGAACCUGGUGGGAGAUGAUUGAAUUAUAGGGGCGAGUCUUUCCUGCUCUGUUCUUAUGAUAGUGAAUGAGUCUCACAAGAUCUGAUGGCUUUAAAAACAGGAGUUCCCUGCACAAGCUCUCUCUUUGCUUACCACCAUCUGUGUAAGAUGUUACUUGCUCCUCCUUGCCUUCCACCAUGAUUGUGAGGCCUCCCCAGCCAUGUGGAACUGUAAGUCCAUUAAACCUCUUUCUUUUGUAAAUUUCCCAGUCUUAAGUAUGUCUUUAUCAGCAGUGUGAAAAUGGACUAAUACGCCCUGCUCUUCUGCAGACCCUCCUCCAUAUGCACCCCGUGAGCCUUCAACUUCCUAUUCUUAUCCCUUCACAUCUUUGCCAUGUUGCUCCCUAUGCCCAGAAUGACUUUCAUAUUUAUGUUGUUGGAUUCCUUCAAGGUCUAGCUCUGAUGUCCCCUACUGUAUGAAGCUUUUCUGAAUCCAUUCAGGAUAAAAUUAAUUUUUUUAUUUAUUUAUGUUUUUCAUAGCAUAUUAUAUUAAAAUAUCACUUAUCCUAAUAUAUUUGGCUAGCUUUUUGUUGUCUGCAUUUUAUUAUAAACUCCCUAGGUACUCCUGAUCUGCUGAAUUAAACUUUUACCCCAGAGCCUAGCAUGGUACCUAGAAUAUAUUAGCAGCUCAAUAAGUAUAUAUUAUUAACAUCGUAGUACAUUUGCAGAAUGGUAUCCAUUUUUAUUUUAUAAAGAUAUUCCAUUGAAUAUAGAUAUUUUACUUAUAAUUACAAUAACUAAUACAUGUAGCAUAGUACUUAUUAUAUGUUUGGCACUAUUCUAAAGAAUUCAUGCAUAUUAACUCAUUCAGUUCUUACAAUAAUUCUAUUAUUAAACUUAUGCUCAUUUUACAGAUAAGAAAAUUGAAAUGCAGUGAGGUUAAGUAAGUUGCUCAAAAUUAGUAGUGCCAGGAUUCAAACUCUGCUACUGAUAUGGACAGGAGGCUGGAAAAUACUGGGUAGAAGAGGGUGGAGUCCCUGGCAAGGGUUCCACCCUAAAGCUGGGCCCCACAGCCCUAAAUGAGAACUUUACUUCCCUGUUUUCCCACCUGAAUGUUGCCUUUUGGCCCAGCAUGCCCCCAUCCUGUGCCGAUAAGAACUCCAGACCCCAAACUCAGCUCAUACACACACGGAAGAGAGAAGCAUCUGAACAUCAAGAAGAGAAGAAGCUGCUGGACAUCAGAAACUGUGAAAGGAGAGGAGUUUGGCUGAGCUCCAGGGGAAGACUGCCUGCACAUUCUAUCCCCUUUUCAGUUCCCCAUCCUGCUGUCAGCCACAUUUACCACUCAAUAAAAUCUUCACAUUCACCA